GGCUGGCUGAGGCUUUGGUGAUCAAGGGGGUUUGGGCCUACAGCAGUGGGCAAUUUGACAAAGGCUGAGACAGAAGGCAAGUGUUAGGAGAAGAGGAUAUAAACAGAGUGAAGCCUGAUGGAAAUGAUAAGUGUUUAAUGAGAGAGACGAGUGAGGGGUUGGGUUUAGAUUCAGGAGCAAGGUACUUGGGGUGUGUUUAAGAUGCUUAGAGCAAUCACCUUAGAGCUUAGGGAAUCUGUGGGUGUCCCAGAGAGGGGUUGGUGAGGUGGUGCAAAUCCCAUGCUUUGGAAAUGCUGUUCUUUGAUCUUUUAGAUGCAUUUCUCUAGCUGGGAAGAUACAGCUUGUUUCUGAGAUCUUGUACUGUGAGAGCUUUCCAUAUGUAGGACAUGCAAGGGAGGGUGCUAGUGAGUAUUCUCCAACCACUUUCCCUGCCUCAAGGUCAAAGACUGGUCAAAGAACAUCAGUUGAGAAGUAUGUAAUAAAGGAGGCAUAUAACUGUGCAAAGGUCUACUUAAUCCUUUUGCAGUCUGGAGAACUGUGAAGACAGCAAAAUGCACUUUAUGCUCUUCCAAGAUAAUUGCUUAUAAUAUCAAACACAAAACCAUUUCAAGGCUGGAAAAUGUGAGAAAAAGAUUUUUUACACUCUUAGUGGUGCUCAAAAGUGACCUAAAAUCUGGUCCAACUAAAAGUGAAAUUGUGUGCUUUUGCAGGCGCGUUACUGAAUAUCUUUGUUGCCUGCUUUUCUUCCAGGCUCCACUCUGGAGUAAGCCAGCUAUUUCCUUUCAAGAGGAGACCUAGACACAGUUAACAUGAUAAUUUGUUCCAGGGUCUGUUCCUGACAGGCUGUAUGGAUGCAGCCCACGUCAACAUUGACUCUUUCCAUCUAGGACAUUCCUCCUACAUUAUCCCAUGUGGUAAUGCAGCACAUAUUCAUGGUGUCAUGCUAUGAAAAACACAGCUAUACCAGACUGCAUCACAAUCCUCACUUUAUUUUAGGCAUUGUGAACUGGAAAAUGAUGACAAGUACUUAGCCUACCCUUGACCUAAAGGAAUCCCUACAGGAGCGGGAUGCCUUUAAUUUACAGCCUCAGCCAGUACAUCCUGGGGAGCCUGGUGAGGUCAGUGCUGGCUGUUCUGUUGUGCCUUUAAAUGCUGAGAUUUCUCAGAUAUUAACACAGGAGAGAUCCUGUGAGACCACUUGGAGAGUGUCAGGUGAAAAAAAGUCUUCAUCUAUUGGUAAAUCCUUUGUUCAGUACAUGGA
rnacentral:lncRNA from 1 species